GCCCAAAUAGCUCAGUGGGAAAGCGUUAGACAAUAGAUCGAAAGAUCCCUGGUUCGAUCCCGAGAUUCGACA
rnacentral:tRNA from 1 species